rnacentral:misc_RNA from 1 species
GAAAUGCGAUACGUAGUGUGAAUUGCAGAAUUCAGUGAAUCAUCGAAUCUUUGAACGCACAUUGCGCCCUUUGGUAUUCCAAAGGGCAUGCCUGUUCGAGCGUCAUUUGUACCCUCAAGCUUUGCUUGGUGUUGGGCGUUUUUUGUCUUUGGCUCGCCCAAAGACUCGCCUUAAAACGAUUGGCAGCCGGCCUACUGGUUUCGCAGCGCAGCACACUUUUGCGCUUGCAAUCAGCAAAAGAGGACGGCAAUCCAUCAAGACUCCUUCUCACGUUUGACCUCGGAUCAGGUAGGGAUACCCGCUGAACUUAAGC